UCAUUUGCUACUUUUCUUUCAGACAAUGACGAAAGCAGAUAUUCUAAAGACAGCUCCGUGUGAUGACGCGCAUUCAAUAAUUUACAGAGUGUUGUGCUGCCGUACUAAUUUUUUUGUUAAUUAUUUAGUUCUUUCUGGUAGAACAUUAGCUACUGUGUAUUAUGCCAUCGCAUACUGGGAGCAACUACACUUGGACAAAAGCCACAGGAUGGUUAGAUAGUGCAGCCACAAGUUUCGAUGAAGCGUACGUUGCCAACGUCACAAAUAGUGAUCCCAGCAUAAAGACGUAUUACAUCACAGCAUUUUACGUUUACGUUGCUGACGUCAACAGGAUUAGGAAACAUGUCACCAAAUACUAACGGCGGGAAAAUAUUCUCAAUAUUUGCUGUUCUGCUUGGUUGGCUGCGGAGUACUGCAAUCUCCGACGGUAACGUCUCUUUUAAAAUGAUGCGGGUGUAUCAGCGGACAGAUGACUACCAAGAAAAAAAAAAACUUUCAUCAUCUUCCGAAGAAUCCUGCACACUGAUUGCAAGAGACCUUCCAACACAUCUGGAUGUACACUAAUGGAACAUGGUUUUAAAGAGUUUCCCGGAGUGCCUUCAAGCAAUUAUAUAACUUCAUUUGAACAGAAACUUGCUGAAUAAGUGCCCAGCGUUCCAGUAGGCAUUUACAGGAUAUCUUCGUGUCUUAUCUAUGCAGUACGCCCCUGGUGACACAUUGCUACAUCCGGGUGAUAUACUGACAGCUCUCUAUCUGCAUGCGGUUCAUUGGAGAUUGUUACAGUAAAAUAUUUGGUACAGCGGUAUGAGGAUGGUUAGAUACUGCAGCCACGAGAAUCAUUGAAACUUACGUUGCCAACGUUACAGAUAGUGGACCCAGCAUAAAGACGUAUUACAUCACAGCGUUAUAUUUUACGUUUACGUCACUGAUGUCAACAGGAUUCGGAAACGUGUCACCAAAUACCAAUGGAAUUGACAUGGCGGUUUGUUUGUACAGACUUUCUGUGAAUCAAGUAGUUUACCGGUGAUGACAUUCGGGGAUUUCCAUGAGAUUACGUAAUUCUCCGUGUGUGAUAUCGGAAUCCUUCUGUCAUGAUAGGUAAAGAUGAUAUAUUUGGUGGUGCUUGCAGUGACGUGGAAUGCUCGGGAAAAUCGUUCUAUUUUGUACGUGCCCUUAGUUACUGUGAUAUUGACAAGACAGAGUUACACGUGCUGAAAGAAACAAUGGAUAUAUAACCAGAAUUUUCAAAAAGAAUGAAUGGGUAAAAUACAAGUGACAUUCAAUCAAGCUCGACGAAUGGGACCACAGAUCGGAGAAGAUGAGCCGACGUCUAGGGCAUACGAAUUUUCUCCGCUACCAGCAAGUAGUGGUAUAGAUACGGCGUUCAAAGACAGAUCAGUGUAAACAAGACGAAGAGUUGACGGAUGUUUCAUUUCUUCAUCAGAUUCCAGCCAGUACGUCAAGGUUACAGUGUGUUUUCGGUGUAUCUAUAAGGUCAUUCUUAGAAACAUCAGACAGUUGAGCGCCCUCUAGUAGUCGGCGCAUUUCCAGCUUUGAGCGCCCUCUGAAAGUCGGCGCAUUUCC
rnacentral:lncRNA from 1 species